rnacentral:rRNA from 1 species
GAGGGGCAGCAUGGUCUUAGCUUGCUAAGGCCGAUGGCGACCGGCGCACGGGUGAGUAACACGUAUCCAACCUGCCGUCUACUCUUGGACAGCCUUCUGAAAGGAAGAUUAAUACAAGAUGGCAUCAUGAGUCCGCAUGUUCACAUGAUUAAAGGUAUUCCGGUAGACGAUGGGGAUGCGUUCCAUUAGAUAGUAGGCGGGGUAACGGCCCACCUAGUCUUCGAUGGAUAGGGGUUCUGAGAGGAAGGUCCCCCACAUUGGAACUGAGACACGGUCCAAACUCCUACGGGAGGCAGCAGUGAGGAAUAUUGGUCAAUGGGCGAGAGCCUGAACCAGCCAAGUAGCGUGAAGGAUGACUGCCCUAUGGGUUGUAAACUUCUUUUAUAAAGGAAUAAAGUCGGGUAUGUAUACCCGUUUGCAUGUACUUUAUGAAUAAGGAUCGGCUAACUCCGUGCCAGCAGCCGCGGUAAUACGGAGGAUCCGAGCGUUAUCCGGAUUUAUUGGGUUUAAAGGGAGCGUAGAUGGAUGUUUAAGUCAGUUGUGAAAGUUUGCGGCUCAACCGUAAAAUUGCAGUUGAUACUGGAUAUCUUGAGUGCAGUUGAGGCAGGCGGAAUUCGUGGUGUAGCCGGUAAAU